UGACCUCAGAUCAGGCAAGGCUACCCGCUGAAUUUAAGCAUAUUAAUAAGCGGAGGAAAAGAAACUAACAAGGAUUCCCCUAGUAAUGGCGAAUGAAGCAGGAACAGCUCAAAUUUAAAAUCUCCGUUGCUUGCAACGGCGAAUUGUAGUUUCGAGAAGCACUUUCUCGGCGGAUCCGAGGUCGUCCAAGUUGCUUGGAACAGCACGUCGUAGAGGGUGAAAACCCCGUCUGCGGCGACCUCGGUCGUUCACGAUGUGCUUUCGACGAGUCGGGUUGUUUGGGAAUGCAGCCCAAAAUGGGUGGUAAACUCCAUCUAAAGCUAAAUAUUGGCACGAGACCGAUAGCGAACAAGUACCGUGAGUGAAAGAUGAAAAGCACUUUGAAAAGAGAGUUAAAAAGUACGUGAAACCGUUAAAAGGGAAACGAAUGGGGUUAGCAAUGCGUCGUGCGAGAUUCAGCCGGUGGGUGGGCCAGGCGGGCGGUUGGCGUAUCUGAAUGGACCGCUGCCGUUCGGGUUGGUUUCCCGACCGUCGCACUUCUCGCAGG
rnacentral:ncRNA from 1 species